CAAAUUUAAAAUCUACCUGGUUUCCAGGUCGAGUUGUAAUUUGAAGAUACGUUUUUGACGUUCCGGGUUGAACUAAAUCCUUUGGGAUAAGGUAUCAUGGAGGGUGAGAAUCCCGUAUAUACCAACCRUAGGGAUGUUAUUUAAUACGUUUCUAAGAGUCGAGUUGUUUGGGAAUGCAGCUCUAAAUGGGUGGUAAAUUUCACCUAAUGCUAAAUAUAAGCGAGAGACCGAUAGCGAACAAGUACAGUGAUGGAAAGAUGAAAAGAACUUUGAAAAGAGAGUUAAAUAGUACGUGAAAUUGUUGAAAGGGAAACGAUUGAAGUCAGUCAUGCCAGUGGGAAUCWACUUAGAGGAAACUCUGAGUGCACUUCUUCGCUUGGCAGGUCAACGUCGAUUUUGGAUGUCAUAAAAUGAUUGGGGGAAGGUAGCUCUUUCGGGAGUGUUAUAGCCCUUGGUAGAUGUGAUGUCUGGGAUCGAGGAUUGCAAUGGAUACCCUUUGGGGCUAGCCGCCUGAUCUCUAAUCGGUAUUGGGUUACGGAUAGCAUGCUGACCCGUGAUCUAAUUAUUGGUUAAAAGGU
rnacentral:rRNA from 1 species